UACGUAGGUGGCAAGCGUUAUCCGGAAUUAUUGGGCGUAAAGCGCGCGCAGGUGGUUUCUUAAGUCUGAUGUGAAAGCCCACGGCUCAACCGUGGAGGGUCAUUGGAAACUGGGAGACUUGAGUGCAGAAGAGGAAAGUGGAAUUCCAUGUGUAGCGGUGAAAUGCGUAGAGAUAUGGAGGAACACCAGUGGCGAAGGCGACUUUCUGGUCUGCAACUGACACUGAGGCGCGAAAGCGUGGGGAG
rnacentral:rRNA from 1 species